GGUGGUUCUCAGGUGAUGUACCCCGAAAUCAGGCUCCCUCUCUCUGGUUCCAGGUGCAUCACCCAAGAACCACA
rfam:Myotis lucifugus cont2.2584, whole genome shotgun sequence.